UUUUUCUUAUUUCCUAUUCAAAAGAAUAUAGUUGAUGUUGGGAAUCCAAACUCCUAAGUUCCAAGAGCUUCCUAUUUAACCAACUUGUGCAUUUUAACAGCUUUGAACUAUCUUUUUGAAUACAUACACUUAUCCACUGUAUAUUAUUAAAUUGACUCUCUUUCAUGCUUUUGUGUAAAAUCAAUAGUACUUACUAUUUAUUGAGACAUAUAGUGGUUCGGGCAUUGUACUAGCAGACUUACAAAAAUUAUCUUGUAUUCUCAAACAACUUUUGUAACCUCAAAACGAAUGAGGAGAUGAGGAGUUGUAGAGGUUAAGUGACAGCUAACAAGUGAGGGAGCUGGAAUUUGCACCCUGGUUAAACUUCAUUGCAAAGCUCAGGCUCUGUCCACUGUGCCCUCCUUUUUUCACAAGUAACUGUCCUCUCCUCUCCGUGAAGCCAUCCUGCUCCUUCAAGGAACUGCUCAAAGCAUAUCUUGAAGACUUUCAAAUUUGCCACCUUUCUCUAGUUAUUUUGAUCAUUUCAGAAAUUUUCAGCAUCGUGCUAGUAUUUCUGUAUAGAUGCAAACAAACAAACAAACAAACAAACAAACCCCACCCAACCCUGUUUGCUUUUCCUACAGAGAUUAUGACCUUUCUUUCAUAACUACAGAGCAACCAGGUUCUCCAAGGUGUACAUCUUAAAGGUAAAGCAAGACAGAAAACCUAAAAUUGCCACUUCCUGGUGAUUUUGAAAAGGUUGCUACUGAGGAUCAUAACUACAGUUUAAAGAGAGACCUUUACCAAUAGGUUCAGAGAAACAGGCUGAAGUUCAAGAGAUGCUACCAAUAGCCAAUACAAGACUUGUUCCUGUCAAAGACUACAGGACGUUGAAGACGAGAAAGGGCUUAUGACUAGCUAAUGCACCAGUAGAAGAGAAACUACUCUCUGAAGAAACAGUGAUGCUACAAGCACUAUUUUCAGUGAAAUAAUUCAAGAGGAACAGGAUAAAUUCAUCAACAGGCUCAAGGAUAGAAUAUUCAUCUCUGUACAAACUCAGUUAAAAUGUGAUUGUACAGUGAAACCUCAGUUCUUGAACAAUUGGUUUUUGACCAAGUUGUUCAUGGAAAAAAAUGUCUCAGCUGUCUAAUAAAACUUUGGGUCUCGAUUCUCUCCCUAACAACCAUUUCCAUGUUGAUACUUACAUGAUCAGUCACACAUCUCUCCAGUGACAAAAAAAGGACAUUCGGUUUUUGAACAAAUUACUUCUGGAACAGCCUUCUGGAACAAAUUAAGUUUGAGAACUGAGUUUUCACUGUAUUUGAAUUUUGGUGCCCAGUGCCUUUUGUAUAGAAGUUCUAUGCUCUAUACCUGAAAGUGUCACUGUACACAUUUUUCAUCACAAGGAACAAAUAAAUUUAACAGA